rfam:Chlorocebus sabaeus isolate 1994-021 chromosome 7, whole genome shotgun sequence.
UCACUUUAAAGAGUGGCAAAGUCUUUCCAUAUGUGUAAUAGACACACAUACAUACAUGUGGAAAGACUUUGUCACUUUUGAAAGUGA